AGUGAACGCUGGCGGUAGGCCUAACACAUGCAAGUCGAACGGCAGCACAGUAAGAGCUUGCUCUUACGGGUGGCGAGUGGCGGACGGGUGAGGAAUACAUCGGAAUCUACUUUUUCGUGGGGGAUACCGUAGGGAAACUUACGCUAAUACCGCAUACGACCUACGGGUGAAAGCAGGGGAUCUUCGGACCUUGCGCGAUUGAAUGAGCCGAUGUCGGAUUAGCUAGUUGGCGGGGUAAAGGCCCACCAAGGCGACGAUCCGUAGCUGGUCUGAGAGGAUGAUCAGCCACACUGGAACUGAGACACGGUCCAGACUCCUACGGGAGGCAGCAGUGGGGAAUAUUCGACAAUGGGCGCAAGCCUGAUCCAGCCAUACCGCGUGGGUGAAGAAGGCCUUCGGGUUGUAAAGCCCUUUUGUUGGGAAAGAAAAGCAGCAGGUUAAUACCCCGCUGUUCUGACGGUACCCAAAGAAUAAGCACCGGCUAACCUCGUG
rnacentral:rRNA from 1 species